AAGCUGGCAUGGAAAAAAAUAUUGAGCAUGUGACACCUAUGGACAGCGGCUUAGGAGCAUACAAAUGUACACGUAGUAUACAUUGAAUGGUGCAUCCUACUCAUAAUUGCUUAGGUCCCAAGAGACUAUUGCCUUUCUCUCCGUGUUAUGAAUUUGUUCUAGAAUUGUGUGUACCUAUUCAACUAACCUUCAGAGUGCAUAGGAACGGUACGAUACAAGAAAAAAACGGUGAUCUGUCUGGAAAUGGAGGCACACAUUGAGCCCCGGGGGCCGUGAUUUUGAUACCCUCGAAAAUGAAUCGGAUCCAUGAUGUUAAACUGAUAUUCUCAUUCGGCAGAGUUAUAUAUAUGGGUUGUCUUUUACAUUGAAACAUUUUUUUAAUAUCUUAAGAAAGACUUUUUAAAAUCAAUAUACACUCGACAGGGGUAUAAAAAGUCAUGAAGCAGACAUACUACACAUAUGUACACUUUUCUUCUUUGGUUCUCAAUGAAACUUUU
rnacentral:lncRNA from 1 species